ACAUCUCAUGUGCCCAAACCGCUCUUUUAGAUAGCAAAGAGUUCAUGUCCCCUGUCAUAACUCCGUUCGAAGCCAAUCUUGCUUUUAGCAGAGGGAGUGAGUGGACUGGUGCAUACCUAAUGCAAUUCCAAGACGUGAUCAACUCUGUAAAAUUAGAAUCA